UGUUGGGGAGAAAACUGUACUCGUUCUACGGGUAGAAUGGGCAUGCCAUGCUCAUGUACCUGAAACCUGAAGUAGAAGGACCAGGUUGGGGGGUGAGAAGGUUGGAAAAAGGCAGCAAUGAAGUCAAUUUCAGCUUCACCCUGAGAAAUACUGUGCAGAGCAUUGAGCAACAACCAUACUGUUCUCCCAGUGUGAAGGAGAUAGAGCAGAAGCAUGUCUGUCACUAUCAGCAUCCUCCACCAAAAAAAAAAAAGCCAGUUUUUUUCAAAUAAAACAUUGGUUCUGAA